rnacentral:tRNA from 1 species
GUGCGAUAGCUUCAUGGGAAAGCCCUGAUCUUACAUGUCAGUCAAUAUAGGUUCGAAUCCUAUUCGCGCUA